rnacentral:rRNA from 1 species
AGACCCGAAACCCGGUGAUCUAGCCAUGGGCAGGUUGAAGGUUGGGUAACACUAACUGGAGGACCGAACCGACUAAUGUUGAAAAAUUAGCGGAUGACCUGUGGCUGGGGGUGAAAGGCCAAUCAAACCGGGAGAUAGCUGGUUCUCCCCGAAAGCUAUUUAGGUAGCGCCUCGUGAAUUCAUCUCCGGGGGUAGAGCACUGUUUCGGCUAGGGGGCCAUCCCGGCUUACCAACCCGAUGCAAACUGCGAAUACCGGAGAAUGUUAUCACGGGAGACACACGGCGGGUGCUAACGUCCGUCGUGAAGAGGGAAACAACCCAGACCGCCAGCUAAGGUCCCAAAGUCAUGGUUAAGUGGGAAACGAUGUGGGAAGGCCCAGACAGCCAGGAUGUUGGCUUAGAAGCAGCCAUCAUUUAAAGAAAGCGUAAUAGCUCACUGGUCGAGUCGGCCUGCGCGGAAGAUGUAACGGGGCUAAACCAUGCACCGAAGCUGCGGCAGCGACACUGUGUGUUGUUGGGUAGGGGAGCGUUCUGUAAGCCUGCGAAGGUGGCCUGUGAGGGUUGCUGGAGGUAUCAGAAGUGCGAAUGCUGACAUAAGUAACGAUAAAGCGGGUGAAAAGCCCGCUCGCCGGAAGACCAAGGGUUCCUGUCCAACGUUAAUCGGGGCAGGGUGAGUCGACCCCUAAGGCGAGGCCGAAAGGCGUAGUCGAUGG